GAUGAAGAACGUAGCGAAACGCGAAAGGUAAUGCGAAUUGCAGAAUUCAGUGAAUCAUCGAAUCUUUGAACGCACAUUGCGCCCCCUGGUAUUCCGGGGGGCAUGCCUGUUCGAGCGUCAUUUCAACCCUCAAGCUCUGCUUGGUAUUGGGCGUCGCCGGGGAGUCUCCCCGGCGUGCCUCAAAGCCAUCGGCGGUGGUGCCUUUCUCUAAGCGUGGUAGAAUUUUUAUUCGCUUCUGAGUUGGGCUUCGCCUGCCGGACAAACCGGGCCCUCGCGGCCCACCUUCUCAGGUUGACCUCGGAUCAGGUAGGGAUACCCGCUGAACUUAAGCAUAUCAAUAAGCGGAGGA
rnacentral:misc_RNA from 1 species